rnacentral:lncRNA from 1 species
AGGGCUUGGUCGCUGAGAAAGACCUGGAGCUCUGCAGGUACUUGUCAGCCAGGUGGUGGAACUUUCCUCCCAGGCCAGUAAAGAGGCAGCUUUGACGAACCAGGAAGUCUGGGAAGAGGCACAGGGCACCCUCACCAGCAGCCAGGGAUACUUCAGUCCAGAUGUCCGCAAGGACCACAGUCCCACCCAGGACAGGACAAAUUCCAGCAGUCUUGACCCUUGAUUGCUUCAGGGCUGCCUGCCCUGCCACUAGUGAAUCCCAAGUCCCUAUCCUGUCCUUGCUGUAUGUAAAUAAAUGUAAAUAAAAACAUGU